AGUGAAUAGAUACCCUGGUAGUCCCAGCUGUAAACGAUGCGCGUUAGGUGUAUCGGUGACCACGAGUCACCGAGGUGCCGAAGGGAAACCGUGAAACGUGCCGCCUGGGAAGUACGGUCGCAAGGCUGAAACUUAAAGGAAUUGGCGGGGGAGCACCACAACAGGUGGAGCCUGCGGUUUAAUCGGACUCAACGCCGGGAAGCUCACCGGAUAAGACAGCUGAAUGAUAGCCGGGUUGAAGACUCUGCUUGACUAGCUGAGAGGAGGUGCAUGGCCGUCGUCAGUUCGUACUGUGAAGCAUCCUGUUAAGUCAGGCAACGAGCGAGACCCACGCUAACAGUUGCCAGCAUGUCCUCCGGGGAUGGUGGGGACACUGUUGGGACCGCCUCUGCUAAAGAGGAGAAGGAAUGGGCAACGGUAGGUCAGCAUGCCCCGAAUUAUCCGGGCUACACGCGGGCUACAAUGGUCAGGACAAUGGGUAUCAACACCGAAAGGUGAAGGCAAUCU
rnacentral:rRNA from 1 species